GCAGGUAUAGCUCAGGGGUAGAGCAUUCAACUGCAGAUGGAGUGGUCCCUGGUUCAAAUCUGGGUGCCCUUU
rnacentral:tRNA from 1 species